rnacentral:rRNA from 1 species
CUGCCUCUAACUGGGGCAUAGCCCGAAGAAAUUCGGAUUAAUUUCCCAUAUUAUUCAAUGAUCGCAUGAUGAUUGCAUGACAGCUCCGGCGGUUAGAGAUGGGCAUGCGGGUCAUUAGCUUGUUGGUGAGGUAACGGCUCACCAGGGCUGCGAUGACUAGGGGGACUGAGAGGGUGAUCCCACACACUGGUACUGAGACACGGACCAGACUUCUACGGAAGUGCAGCAGUGAAGAAUAUUGGGCAAUGGAAGCAACUCUAGACCCAGCCAUGCCGUGUGCAAGAUGACGGCCCUAUGGGUUGUAAACUGCUAUUUCUUAGAGAGAUGAAUCCCCCCGAAUAUACGAGGGUUGCCGGUAUCUCAGGAAUAAGCAUCGGCUAACUCCGUGCCAGCAUCCGCGUUAUACGGAGGAUGCAAGCGUUAUCCGGAUUCAUUGGUUUAAAGGGUGCGUAACGCGGGAAAGUAAGUCAGUGCUGAAGCCUGCAGCUCAACUGUGACCUGCCAUUGGAUACUGCUUUUCUUGAGUUUUGCUUGAGGUAGGCGGAAUGUGUAAUGUAGCGGUUGAAAUGCUUAGAUAGUACACAGUACACCGAUUGCGAAGGCAGCUUACUAAACCGAUACUGACGCUGAUGCACGUAAGCGUGGGGAGCGAACGGGAUUAGAUACCCCGGUAGUCCUGGCCGUAAACGUUGUGCACUAGGUGUGGGAGGGUAUCAACCCCUUCUGUGCCGUAGGAAACCCAUUAAGUGCACCGCCUGGGGAGUACGACCGCAAGGUUGAAACUCAAAGGAAUUGACGGGGGCCCGCACAAGCGGUGGAGCAUGCGGUUUAAUUCGACGCAACGCGAAGAACCUUACCUGGGCUUAACAUCACCCUAACGGGUGCCGUACCUCGGGGAAACUCGGGGGCAAGGCAGAUAGGUGCUGCAUGGCUGUCGUCAGCUCGUGUCGUGAGAUGUUGGGUUAAGUCCCGCAACGAGCGCAACCCCUACCCUCUGUUACCAGCGGAUCAUGCCGGGGACUCUGAGGGAACCGCCGUAGUAAUGCGGAGGAAGGUGGGGAUGACGUCAAGUCAGCAUGGCCCUUACGUCCAGGGCUACACGCGUGCUACAAUGGCCGGUACAAACCGUCGCGAGACCGAAAGGUGGAGCCAAUCGGAAAAAACCGGUCCCAGUUCGGAUUGAGGGCUGCAACUCGCCCUCAUGAAGGUGGAAUCGCUAGUAAUCGCGGAUCAGCCACGCCGCGGUGAAUACGUUCCCGGGCCUUGUACACACCGCCCGUCACAUGACCCGAGUCGUCUGCACCCGAAGCCGGUGACC